UGGGGAAUCUUGCGCAAUGGGCGAAAGCCUGACGCAGCGACGCCGCGUGCGGGAUGACGGCCUUCGGGUUGUGAACCGCUUUCAGCAGGGACGAGGCCGCAAGGUGACGGUACCUGCAGAAGAAGCCCCGGCUAACUACGUGCCAGCAGCCGCGGUAAUACGUAGGGGGCGAGCGUUAUCCGGAUUCAUUGGGCGUAAAGCGCGCGUAGGCGGCCAGUUAGGUCGGGGUCAAAUUUCGGGGCUCAACCCCGUCUCGCUCCCGAUACCGGCUGGCUUGAGUGUGGUAGGGGAAGGCGGAAUUCCCGGUGUAGCGGUGGAAUGCGCAGAUAUCAUGAAGAACUCCGAUCGCGAAGGCAAGUGCCCGGGGUGCAACUGACGCUGAGGCUCGAAGGUGCGGGUAUCGAACAGGAUUAGAUACC
rnacentral:rRNA from 1 species